rnacentral:rRNA from 1 species
GUCUACGGCCAUGCUACCCUGACCAAGCCUGAUCCCGUCUGAUCUCGGAAGCUAAGCAGGAGGGCCUGGUUAGUACUUGGAUGGGAGACGACCUAGGAAGACCAGGUGCUGUAGGCG